rnacentral:antisense_RNA from 1 species
CUUGAGCGAGCCGAGCCAGAGCGGCGACGGGCGGUCCUGGCCGUAGACCGCCAGCACCGCCUGGGCCUC